rnacentral:rRNA from 1 species
UAUGAUAGAGAAAGCAGAAUUUCUAGUGUAGAGGUGAAAUUCGUAGAUAUUAGAAAGAAUACCAAUUGCGAAGGCAGCUUUCUGGAUCAUUACUGACACUGAGGAACGAAAGCAUGGGUAGCGAAGAGGAUUAGAUACCCUCGUAGUCCAUGCCGUAAACGAUGUGUGUUAGACGUUGGAAAUUUAUUUUCAGUGUCGCAGCGAAAGCGAUAAACACACCGCCUGGGGAGUACGACCGCAAGGUUAAAACUCAAAUGAAUUGACGGGGACCCGCACAAGUAGUGGAGCAUGUGGUUUAAUUCGAAGAUACGCGCAGAACCUUACCAACACUUGACAUGUUCGUCGCGACUUUAAGAGAUUAAAGUCUUCGGUUCGGCCGGACGAAACACAGGUGCUGCAUGGCUGUCGUCAGCUCGUGUCGUGAGAUGUUGGGUUAAGUCCCGCAACGAGCGCAACCCUCACUUUUAGUUGCCAUCAUUAAGUUGGGCACUCUGAAAGAACUGCCAGUGAUAAGCUGGAGGAAGGUGGGGAUGACGUCAAGUCCUCAUGGCCCUUACGUGUUGGGCUACACACGUGUUACAAUGGUAUCUACAACAGGAAGCAAAACUGCGAAGUUGAGCAAAUCCCUAAAAGAUACCUCAGUUCGGAUUGCACUCUGCAACUCGAGUGCAUGAAGCUGGAAUUACUAGUAAUCGUGGAUCAGCGUGCCACGGUGAAUGCGUUCCCGGGUCUUGUACACACCGCCCGUCACACCAUGGGAGUUGGUUCUACCUUAAGGCAAGGUUUUAAACCCUUGACCACGGUAUAGUCAGCGACUGGGGUGAAGUCGUAACAAGGUAACCGUA